rnacentral:rRNA from 1 species
AGCWCGGCCCCCAACAUUGGGACUGAGAACUGCCCAAACUCCUACGGGAGGCUGCAGUCGAGAAUAUUCCACAAUGGACGAAAGUCUGAUGGAGCGACGCCGCGUGAGUGAUGAAGGCUUUCGGGUCGUAAAGCUCUGUCAGAGGGGAAGAAAUGAGUCGUGCUAAUAUCGCGACUUCUUGACGGUACCCUCAAAGGAAGCACCGGCUAACUCCGUGCCAGCAGCCGCGGUAAUACAAGG